rnacentral:lncRNA from 1 species
UUCUUCACCACUCUUUUGUUCCCUGACUGCUGCGUGUCAUAAUACGCGUUGUAGGCUCAUGGAUACUGAUCUGGAUUGCUGCCACCAGUCCUGCCAGAUCCUAACGUUUCCCUUUCCAGCUCCAUAGUUGUCUUUUGUUAUAGCAGACCUGUUAUUAUCCUGAUGCGUUGAUUGAUAGCAGCUAACGAUUUCUUACCAUUUCCCUUUCCAGGUCUGUAGUUGUCUUUUGUUAUAGCAGACCUGUUAUUAUCCUGAUGCGUCGAUUGAUAGCAGCUAGCGUUUUCUUACCAUUUCCCUUUCCAGCUCCGUAGUUGUCUUUUGUUAUAGCAGACCUGUUAUUAUCCUGAUGCGUUGAUUGAUAGUAGCUAACGCUUUCUCCUGGUCUGAGCAGGCGUUCUGGAUACCGAGGAAUUGGGCAUUGUGAACAACACUUUCCGUAAGUCGCAUGGUUCAAGGCUACUGCCAGGAAUAGCAGAGGAACUGAGUAGGUCAACCGAGUCCACUACCUCAACGCUGGACAGCGAAAGCUUUGUGCUGGAAAGCCUUGAGACAGAGCUGUUUGACAAUGUCCGUGCUUCGAUUCAGAGAACACUUGGAAAACCCGAUAAAGCUCCAGGCAUGGCUUUUGCUAGCUCAAAGACCCCUAGGGCAACAGCAAAGGCACCUCCUGUCACAGGUGGCAUGUUACAAACUCACAAGUUGAUGCGAAAUGCUAAUUUCUUGGCACCUCCUGUCACAGGUGGCAUGUUACAAACUCACAAGUUGAUGCGAAAUGCUAAUUUCUUAUGCUGUAACUUCAGGGAACAUCGUCUGCUCUAUUUUUUAAUUAAUGUGAUUGCCGUGUUGCUACUUUCCAGCGAGAAAUGGG